CCGUGGCUGGGAAGAACGACAGCGGCGGGGCCGGUUUCGGCGGGCGGCGGAGGCGCGGAGGGGACAGAGCUGCCAUUUCAAGAUGGCGAAGCGCCCGCCUACCAGGACCCUGCAUGAGCCGGGUCGGCCUCCAGCCCCACUCCAGAUGGCGGCCGCGGCAGGACUCCGGCAGAGGCGUCGCCGCCGCUCCCUGCCGCCGUUCGCGGGGCUCCGGUGCCGCUGACCCCGCCAACCGUUUUCUCCCGCCGGGAAAAGCAGCAGAAAAUGGCGCUGAGAGCGCGGGAUCGGCGUCGGGACCGGGUUGAGGCAGCCGUCGGUGUUCCCUGAGUGGCUGCAGCUCCCUGCGUGUGGAGGAAAGAAGCCUGUGCUGGAGAAUGGGAGGAAGAUCCCUUGCUGUGUCCUCGGUGGGCACAGAACUCUGGCCAGAUGGCUUGGACAGGGAGAACCACUGAACUCGUCCUAGUCUUGCCAAGAGCUUUGGUGUUUGAGCUGCCAAACCCAAACUGGUCCUGAUGAUGGAAGACUUAAGAAAUUGCUCAAUCCAACUAAAUGCUUUAAAAAGGGAGAUGGUUUGGUUAUAAAAAUAUUUCUGCCAGAGACUGGGAAGAGUUAAAUCCCCCAAUUCUGCACAACAGCACAAGGAUUUUUUAAUUCUUUGCCUUUUUUUUCCCUUCCUUUGAUUGGGUUUGUUUGUUUCCCCUUGGAGACUGCACACACAAUAGGCAGAUUUUUCAAUUAAGCCUUUUUUUCCCCACUUUUAGUCUUCAAUGGAGCCCAGGUGCCAAUUGUUUGCUGCUUGGUUUCUGCCUUCCCUUUCCUGCCUACAGCUUAACCCCUUUCUCUCCUUCCUGCUUUUUGGCCAUCACUGGUCAUGCAGAUGAUGCUGAUGCAGAUGGCUGAUAAAUAAUUAUCAAACAGCUUGGGAAUAGUCUGUAUCAGGUAUUGGUGACAUUAAAAAAUGCAGUAUAUGGCCCAUCAACCAAUGAAUUUAGCAACAGUUGGAUAGUAACUAAUCAUCUUUCCUUUAAAGCCCUCUUCAAAGCAUAUUUACUUAUAAAGGGAAGGCAUUUAGUUUUUAUUUUAAAAAAUACUACAAAUCACCACCAGCCAGCUUAAGUGAGCAUGGAAGCCUGAUAAAGACAUUGUAAUGUUUUUUCUUUUAAAUCCCUCACAAACCCAUCACGUACUGGGGAGGCAGCUCAGCCAGUUUUAGCCCACAGCUGCCAUCCUGUGCUCAUGGAGAGCAGCCUCUCCAGCUGUCCCAGCCUCACGAAAGCACAGAAGAGGGCUUUACACAGAUCAGGGAUUAAGCUAGACCCAGGUUGGGCUCAGCUCAGUCACCAUGGCACUGUUAGAAGCCUUAAACCCUUUUUCUAUCAGAUUGAUUGUGGUUGCGGUGCAGCCACUGUGUUGCUGUCAAUGUGCUCCCCUGCAGCCUAGCCUGACAUGGUGAGCAGGGGCUUGGGGUUCUGCCUCAUGUGUUAAACAUCAAACCAGAAGAUAAAACAACAGAUAAAACCACUGCCCUGCCAUGUGCCUCACUCUGCACCACUGCUAUGAGAGGAGGGUGAAAGACCCAGUCAGUUUUAGCUCUGUAAAGAAGCUGCAGAGCAGUGAUGAGUGCCUGAAUCACAUGCCGUGCAGCCAUCAGGGGAGUGAGGGCAGGGAAAAGGGCAGAGAAAGGGAAAUAAAAAAACAACAGAGCCACCAAGACUGGAGGAUGUGAGGAUGAAUCCAAAACUAUGCUCUCCAAGAGCUGAAAUAACACAUUUCUUAAAACAAGACAUUCAAACUGGAAUGAGGGACUUGCACUCUUUCCAGAUUUUCCCAGCACCAUAACCCAUUAAAAAAAAAAAAGUCAUCUGUGGAAAUGGGAUGCUCCUUUAAGCCUUGCAGAGACUUUCUCCAGCACCACAAAGCACCCUUCCUGUUGUUCUUCCUUUAGCACUCAGGGCUGAGCCAUGGAGACCUGCUUCUUUAGUGUGUGUGUGUGUGUAUUUCAGGGUUUUUUUUAAACCAAGAAAAAAAUUGAUACCAUAUUUUAAAAAGAACCCCCAGAGCUUUGGGGAAAGUGGGCAUAAAUGUCAAACAAAACACAAAGAAAGACUGAGCUACUAAGGGAUCAUACUUAGAGUAGCAGUGGUGGGGUGGGAGGGAAGAAAUAUAGCAGACAAAUUUAACACCAUUUAGGAGGGUUUAUACACAAUGUUUUCAUUGCAAGCAGUACUUAGAAGUGACAAUUUAGUGAUUUAUCAUAUCCCAGCACACUCCUUCCCUGUCAAAGUGAUAGGCAGAACCGGCAGAGCAGCUCUGAACACACUGUUCACUACAAGGCACCACCCACAAACCCAGAAUAGCUCCACCCUUGGCCAACCCUGUCCCCUUGGGCCUUUUGAGAAGUUGGGAUUUAGGAGGCAGCCUUGCAGGGGAACAGUGUUUCAAAUGUCAAAGGAUUUAAAAAUAUACAAGGCUAUGAAAGCUGAUGGGACCUGAAAGAAUUGAAGAAGGUGUCUUAGCAGAGCAUCUUUGGCCAGUGCAGCCAGAUAACCCUCAGAUAGCAUUACUGGAGGAUCUGGGAGUGAAGCCCAGCAGGAGAUGCUGCAACAUGAACUCCUGCCCCACACGAGAGGUUCCCAGAGACCAAAAACUCCGUGCAGAGCAGACAGGAUCUGACCACGACACCUGCCUUGGGCCAAACCUGCUCUUCAUUUCUCAUGAGCCACACAGAAACGUGGUGUAUUUAUGAUCACUUCUCUCACCAGACCUGAUUGCAAUCAGCACUGGAUCCCAAAACUGAAGGAGAAGCCUUGCGUAGACAAUUCCUCCUUCAAGGCUCAGCUGCAGUACCAGGCUCAAGACCUGGCAUGCACAUGCAUUUGGCAGGGAGUAGCAAAUCAAGUGUAAGACCAUUUCAGGGUUUUUUUCAGCUGAUUGUUUAGGAAUUUACUUGGAAUAAACUUCCUCCCCAAAAGGGAUUUCAAUUCUACACAUGCACAGAGAGGAGAAAACAUUAAUGCAGUGUUGAGACAGCUCCAUGCUGAGAGCAGUGGUUUUAAGGGUAAGGCCCUUGUGUAUCUGGGAGGGUGAAACCUCUGUUUCAACCCUCUGGGAUCAUCACUUGGGCUUCCUGUGCUUCUCAAGCUCUCAAAGUAAAAUUGACCCAUCAAACUCAUCUUUGUCUCAAUCCUAAUCCCUGCAUCAUCCUUCAGGUGUAUUUCCUCACAAUGAAAUUGGAGUAGAAAAUGCUUUAGGAAAUGCUUUGCAGCCCCUUCUUCCCCAAAGGCCCAAUCUGCUUUAAUUUUUAGGAAUGCUCUUCAAGCACAAGGUUUGGAUGCAGCCAGUGAGACUCACAUUUCAGAAGGACCAUCAAUGGUCUGAUAAAGACACAGCACUUUAAAGCAGGCUGCUGGGACUGAGGAGGAUAUUUGAAACCUGUUGACAUGCAGUUCUAGCAGAAGUGCAAAAUGAAAUGUAAUGUAGUAGAACUGGAAAAUGAAAUGCUGUUAGACGAGGCUGCUCCCCAAAUUGGCUCUGCCUGGAUCCACCUGCUCUGCAGCACAGCCUUCUCCCUUUCUCCUCACUGCCCUCUGCUCAGCACCAACCCAAACCUGGGCUAUUUCAAUUCCUGUCAGACACAGAGCAGCUGAUGGGCAGCAAAUGCAGCCUUCCCAAAGUGGCUGCCCAUGACCUGGCCUGCAGGGCAGAGCUCAGGGAGGGGGUGGCAGCUUCCUCAGUGGCUUUUCAUGUCCUCUCUCUGCCGUGCAGACACUGGCAUGCAUGGCACGGCUCUGUUUUGGCAGCCAGUCCCUUGGCAGGGCUGUGUGAGCACAGGCUGAGCACAGGGUGAACUCUCUCCUCCUUGCUGUGACACCUGGGCUGGCAGGGAUGACACAGUGACCUCAGCCAGCCGAUGCUGCCUGUGCCAUCACCUGGCACUGACGUAUUUGAUGAAAAUCCUUUUGCUGGGAUUUUUCUCCUGAGAAGCCUCAGAACAGAAAUGGAACCAAUAACGAUCUGCUGGCUGUGGAGUGUGGGCUGGAGAUGGUUUAGCAACAGGGGCAUCUUGGAUUAGUGUCCUGUGCAUUGUUUCUACUUGAUGACCAAUCAUGGUCCAGCUGCGUUGGGGCUGUGAGCAGUCCCAGGUUUUUAUUAUUCAUUCCUUUCCAGCUUUCUGAUGUCUCCUUGCUCUUUUAGUAUAGUUCUAAUAUCUCAUUUUCUUUUAAUAUAAUAGAGAUCAUAAAAUAAUAUUUCAGCCUUCUGAAA